AUUAUUUGUUAAAUGUAUACAGUUGCAAAAUCUAGUACAUAGGGCCAUACCAAACUGAUAUGUCGUUCGUCGGAACUACAUCAUCAAUAAUUUCAUUCCAGAGAAAGAAAAAAAAUCACCCGCCCACACGUGCAUUGGAGUUUGCUUCUACGCACGAAAUGUAACUUUUCUGAAAUUUCAAUAUCUGCUUUAGAGUCAAACUCUAGUCAAAUAAAGAUAAAAGAUCGCAGAUUGUUUGUUCAAAUUCAUGUAGUGAUUUUGUCCUAUUAAAAACCACCAAACAUAUCUGUGUCGGAAGGUAAAGCUGUUUCCGACUAAUCUCGGCUACAUGCUGUUGAAGCUAGGUUACUUUCAACAUAUCCAUGAAGAAAGGUUAGAGCUAUUGAAGUGUCUAGGGCUAUGGAUCCUAGUCCAGAUAAUAACGCGUUUCGGGACAGUGUGAUAACUUUUUACACCAUGAGAAAACCAACAUAGUGCAUUUGCGACCAGCAUGGAUCCAGACCAGCCUGCAUAUCCACGCACUGGUCUGGAUUCAAGCUGGCCGCAAAUGCAAUGUGCUGGUUUUCUCAUGGUGCAGCACAGUUUAACCUAGGUUUAUUGAGUACCAUUCAAUGCAUGUGUAUGGUCAGUGUGGGAGAAUUAAUGCCUAUCGUGCUCUGUUACAGAUAGCAUCCAGACUAUUCAGGUUUUGUUUACGCUAGUAAAAAAGUCAUAGUGUGUUUCUAUAUUAAUUUCAUAUACAUUUUUAUACGCUUUAAAAAUUAUCAGACAUGCGUAUAUGCAUUAUUUAAAAGCGUAAUUUACGCUAAUACGCAUCUUAUGUGGAGCCCUGUUUGGGGUCACUCUGUUAAAGGUCAAGGUCACAGCAGCUAGAAUAUGGAAAUCCAUUCCUGUCAGUAACUAAUUGGGAACCAUUUGACCUAGAACCUUCAAACUUUAUAGGGUGAUACAACUUCAGAGUUAAAAUGACCUCUAUUGUUUUUGGGGUCACUCAAUCAAAGGUCAAUAUAACAGGGGCCAUCUCUCUGUCACAGUUAUUUUUUUUUCAAUAACUCACAGAACCUUAAAACUUCAUAGGGUGAUAGGACUUGUAACAUUUUUAGGGUAGUAGAUCAAAGGUCAAGUUCACAGGGGCCUGAACACGGAAAACUGUUGCUGAUAAAAAACUUGAGAUCUACCUUAUUGCCUGGGCAGGUAAUAGUAGAAUGUGGGCAAGCAAAAAUUAUACUCAGUUGCCCAUCAUACAAGUGAAAUAUUUGAAAUGUUUGAAAGAUCCCCAAAAAUUACCCUAUGGGCAAGUGCUCAACAGAGUUAAGCCGAUCCCUGAGGUAGAAUUUUUUUACUAUAUAAUUUUAUGUUUACAAAAUAAUUUUCUUAAAUUAUGGAAAAAAUACUAUACAGAGAUUUUCGAAACAGAGUAAAUAAUCUGCAGAACUUAUAAUGAAAUGUGACGAAUGCAUGUCUUUAAAUUCAGACAGGACAUAUUGUUAUUUUGAGAAGGAAACUGUCUGACAUUGUACCUAGGAGCAGUCAAGAAGAAAGAUUUAAAAAAAAAAUAUAUACACACAGUGCGAACAGCUGCUUUGCUCUACCUUCAAGGGCGGCGAAAUCUGAUUUUACUUGCUUGUCCAUUUUUGUCAUUUGCUAUUUUUUACUUGUCCGUAUGAUAGUUAUAUAUAGUAAAUUCUGGUAAAAUUUCACUUGUCCGUACAAGCUUUGGGACAACCUGGGCAAUACGGAUAAUUGAAUUUGCCGCCCCUGGCCUUAUAUACAGGAUUUCCAUUAUAGACUUCUCAUUAGCACCCAUUUACAGAUACAUCAAUAUUGAUGAACAUAGAACAUCAGACCUGUACCACUGGCAUCCUGUACCUUCACCAGAACAGACCAGAUACCUCACAAAACAGAAAGUGUGUGUCCAGCCAAGCAUUCAAUGGUUGAAGCUCUAAUAUCAGCUUGGGUGGAAAGAACAGUGAAGAUACAGAACAGACAUAAGUUAAUGAGAUAUGAUAAACUGGAAGCUCCAUGAGGAUGUUAUACUAAAAUAUGGUUGUAGUGGUUUUAGUACAGACACAGAAAGAGAGGAGGCGGCUAAAAAACUGCAGUUCAGAGGGUUAGAAGUUUACAAUACAUGUUCAUAUUUCUAUGAGGCGAAAGGUUUGAGCUGCGGACACCAAAGCAAAAGUGAAAUGUAUGAAGUUCAGCUGUAAUGGUAAUCAGAUGCAGGUCUUUGUCCUACAUGGUGAGGGAAACAGUGUGGCAUUUUUGGAAAACAUGUAAUAGAAUUUUAGAAGAUUUUGCUGACAUGAAGCUGGAGGACAUAGCUCAGAGUUGUGAGCUUGCUCUCAAGGCAUAUCGAAUAGCGAUUUGGUGGUUGAAUCCAUAAAAUUAGAGUGGAUCAGGUUUAAGAGGGAAAUUUACCACGGCAUGAAAAUUACAGAAAAUGACUGGAGAUCUUUGCUUAGUUCUAGCUCUCUGAGUGAUUUGAUGUUAAUCCACUCAGAAACUGAGUCUGUUGAGAAAUUUGAUCCAUUGGAUUCAAUAUUAUGAAAUUCCAGUGGUAGUAGGGCUAGGAGACCAUUCUACAAUGAUAAAAAAGUAAAGCCUGCCAAAUUCACCAAUUCAUUUGGAAUAGAUACUGAUGCAUUUCUAAAUUCAUUUUAUCAAUUUGCUGGUCGUAGAGGUCUUCCAGGAACAGUUCUGUCGGAUAAUGGAACAAACUUUGUCGAUAGUGAAAACAAACUCAGAUAAUUAGUAAACGCGCUGAAUCAUGAUCAAAUAAAAGAAAAGACAGCAAAUAAAGGAGUUCAGUGGCAUUUCAUUCCUCCAUCAGCACCACAUUGGAGAGGGGAGGUGUACAUGAAAUCAUGGUGAAAAGUGCUGAACGAGCCAUUAAUUCCAUGUUACAGAAUGCUUCAGUGUCAGAUGAGAAAGUUAUGACCCCAUUUGUAGCAGCAGAAGCUCUUACCAAUUUGAGACCUCUUAUUUAUCAGUCAGCUAACCCUGCUGAUUGCAUACCUCUUACUCCAAAUCAUUUCCAGCUUGGACAGAUAGGAGGAGAGUUCGCUCCUUAGAGCCUUGAUACAAAUGAUUUCAACCCUAGAAAUGGUGCGAGUUCAAGAGUUAGUCUGAAACUUCUGGAGUUGUUCGAUUUGUGAGUGGUUGCCAAACUUAUGUACCUCCAAGAAAUGGAACAGAGUUUGACCAGAUCUGAAAGUUGGAGAUGUCAUUAUCAUGGUAUAGCCUGGCACGCCUCAAGCACAUUGGCCUUUAAGUCGUGUUACACACGUUCAUACAAGUUGCGAUGGUUAUGUGAGAGCAGCAAACAUUAUAGUAAAUGGUAAAGAAUUCACAGCCCAUUACAAAGUUAGAAAUUAACAGCAGUGAUUAACACAAUUAUGUGUUAUGCAGAAAUAUUGCAUUUUAUAUGACAAAAAGUGUAAACAUUCUCGCAUGUGGAGGGAAUAAUAAUCCUUCAAAAUGAUUUCAUGUGUGGAGGGCAUAAUAAUCCCUCAAAAUGAUUCCAAGUGAGGAGGGCAAAAUAAUCCCUCAAAAAUAAUUUUGGUUGUGGAGUGCAUAAUAAUCUAUCAAAAAUAAUUUCACAUGUGGAGUGCAUAAUAAUCUAUCAAAAAUAAUUCCACAUGUGGAAGGCAUAAUAAUCCCUCAAAAAUAAUUCCGCAUGUGGAGGGCAUAAUAAUCCCUCAAAAAUAAUUCCAUGUGUGGAGGGCAUAAUAAUCCCUCAAAAAUAAUUCCAUGUGUGGAGGGCAUAAUAAUCGCUCAAAAAUAAUUUAGCAGGAUUAUUUUUUGCUUGUGGAGGGCAUAAUAAUCGCUCAAAACUAAUUUGGCAUGUUGAGGGCAUUAUAAUCCCUCAAAAAUAAUUCAGCUUUAAAAAUGAUUUCGCGUGUGAAGGGCAUAAUAAUCCCUCAAUAUAUUUUAAGAUAAACAAAUAUCUGAAACAUUAUAUUAUAAUCUUGGAGAAAGAGAAAGACAUUUUUCUCUUUCAGGAACUAGAAGAUGCACUGUAUAAAAAGAUGAAGAAGAUUGUAUUUUCAUUACUAUGUACUGUAAUUUUUGACAUGUAUGUAUUUUCAGACAUAUAAUUGAAUUAUUGUAAUACUAUCACAUAAGGCAAUAUUUCAAAAUGUUUGAAAUCAAUGAUACAAAAUUAAAAACAUGAAUACUUUUAUUAUUUGAACGCAUUGUAUUGAACUGUGUUAUACCAAAAGGUCAUAAAUUUUGUCAAAAUUAAUGUAAUAGCUGAUAGUCAAAAAUGGUAUACAUUAUACAGUAAACCUCACUUAUAAGGAACUUGGAUAUAAGGAACACUCAGUUAUAAGGAACAGUUUUCAAUUCCCCGAUCUAAUUCCUUCUUUAUUCAACAUAAAAAUCCUCAGUUAUAAAGAACACUCUGUUAUAAGGAACACUUUUUCAAGUACCAAAGUACGAAAUUCAAUGGAAAACACCUCAGUUAUAGUGAACAGACAUAAAGAAAUAAAGUACUGAAAACCGGAAAUAAACGGGAGAAUCGCUGAUGACGUCAGAUUAAAGUCGGCACUUCACUCCCUUUUAUGUACAUGAAUAAACACAAAUUCUAACCGAUCCGAUUCAUUUUCCUAUUAAACAAAGAAGGCUGGAAACAGUGAAUUAUUAUACAACAAUCCAGUGUUCUGACAUCAUAAUUAUUACGUCAUAUCGUCAAACGGCAUAGUGGCGCGCUGGAAAGGAAACCGAUUGAAAACAGGCAAAUAUUUAAUGAAUGUCAUCAAGGAUGUACUUUAAAGUCCUAGGUAACGUGUUAGAAUCGGAAUAAUAUAUCUUAUUUAGUGUUUUGCUCUUGAAUAAAUCAUUGUUUGUCGUUCAGAUGCGUAUUAUUAUAUCACUCGGGCAUAUAAGUCCUUUGCAUCUGAACUCCAAACAAUGAUUUAUUCAGUGACAAAUCACUAGUGAGAUAUAUUAUUUCUUAAUUAUUUCAUUUCUAUGAUAUUUACAGAUACGCUAAAAAGAAUUCUAACAUAAUCUGAUUCAUUUUCCUAUUAAACAUUGAAGGCAGAAAACAGUGAAUUAUUAUACAACAAAUCACUGUUCUGAAGUCACAAAUAUUACAUCAUGGCGUCAAGACACAGUGGCGCACUGGAAAAGAAACUGAUUGAACAGGUAUACCAAAUUUCCAAUUGUAAAAAUUAUAGCAGGUGCUAAAAUUGACAAUAGCAAAGCUAUAUGUAUAAUUUACACUUCAAUCCAUAUGUAUGGCGCCAUUGGGUAGUCGUAAUACACUGUAUUUCAUAAACGCUUACAUUUAAAUUUUAAUUGGUUGUCCAAUUUAAUAUUUUGUGUAAUAAUAAAAAUUUGAACAUUUAUUUUAUAUAAGUAUUGAUGCCUAUUCACAUAGCAUGAAUCGGGCAAGGGGAUUAACUGCAACAUAUCUUACAGUCAUAAUGUAGCGCUCUCUAAAAAGAAGAUAGAAAUAACCGACGUACAUUUAGUCUAGUUUAGGUUUAACACGGUGUUUCAACACUAUCUCAGUCAUAUACAUGCAGGCAGUUUUCCUUACCAUCUCUCCAGGAAAUUACCUGUACAAGACUCCCAACUUUCUCACAUAAAGAUUCAUGGUCAGCCCGGAGUGUUAUCAAACGUUGGUCAAGUAGUGUUCGCUAUACAAAUUGUAUUUGUUAUACCAACCGCUUAUUAGUUCCUUAUAACUAGCUCCUUAUAAGCGAGGUUUACUAUAGUACUGAAAACUGGAAAAAGUAACAGUUGCCAUAUAUAUCAAUGUUAAAGUGAGUUACUAGAAAGUACAUGUACAUUUCAAGUUGUUGUUGAAAGUUCUGGUUUAACAAGGAAAAUACUAGGUAGUUUGUUGUUUUCAGGAAACUGGUGUAUGGUAUUUAAAAGAGAAUUAUGUUUAUAAACAUUUUGUUUAAAAUUUGGAUUUCAGCCAACAUGUGUAGUUUAAUUUAAGGAUAGUAAUACAAGAAAAAAAAUCAUAUAGUUCAUAACCAAAUUGUUUAAAGGUCUAUUAUAGACAAAAUAUAGAAUAUGUAGUGUAUAUCAAGUUUGUGCAAAUUAGUUUGUAUCUUACAUUUUGUAUUAGACUUAUAGUCUUA